rnacentral:tRNA from 2 species
UAUAGGGUGCCUGAUUAAAAGGAUAAUUUUGAUAGAAUUAAAUAUGUGUUUUACACCCCUGUAA